AUCAUUUUGAGUUGGUUUAGUUACAUUUCGUUCCCAUAUGUGAAUCCAUCCAUGUUUUGGAGUUAAAGAGCUAUUUGUAAAAAGAAUCUCGUCUACAAGGAUAGUGAAGCUGUCCAUCACCACUUAUACAAUGAUUCUAACAGGAAAAUGCUGUAAAUUUGUUGAUAAUGAAGCUCGCAUGUUCAAACUCCGCAGUCUAUAUGUGAAAGAGUUGGCAAUGCUCUGGUAAUUGGCUCCCCAAAAUUGGCUACCUGUUUAGCAGAUUUUGGGUUUUUGAGUGCUCAGAGCAAGCCCCACUUGCACCAGCAUAUCAUCAACAUAAUUUGAAAUUUUUUUUGGGCCCUCAUCGAAGAAACCCACCAUGUACCAAAAACCAGGGCUUCAACAUUGAGCUAAAAUUCGAUGACAAUAUAGUCUAUCAAGAUGAAGAGCUUAUACAUGUUCUUCAAAAAAUCUUGCUGGUAACUUUUUAAAAUCAGAGA